UACAGAGGUCCCAAGCGUUGUUCGGAUUCAUUGGGCGUAAAGGGUGCGUAGGUGGCGCCGUAAGUGGGGUGUGAAAUUUCGGAGCUUAACUCCGAAACUGCAUUCCAUACUGCGGUGCUUGAGGACUGGAGAGGAGACUGGAAUUUACGGUGUAGCGGUGAAAUGCGUAGAUAUCGUAAGGAAGACCAGUGGCGAAGGCGGGUCUCUGGACAGUUCCUGACGCUGAGGCACGAAGGUCAGGGGAGCAAACGGG
rnacentral:rRNA from 1 species